UACAGAGGUCUCAAGCGUUGUUCGGAUUCAUUGGCGUAAAGGGUGCGUAGGCGGCGCGGUAAGUCGGGUGUGAAAUCUCCGGAGCUUAACUCCGAACUGCAUUUGAUACUGCCGUGCUUGAGGACUGGAGAGGAGACUGGAAUUUACGGUGUAGCGGUGAAAUGCGUAGAUAUCGUAAGGAAGACCAGUGGCGAAGGCGGGUCUCUGGACAGUUCCUGACGCUGAGGCACGAAGGCCAGGGAGCAAACGGG
rnacentral:rRNA from 1 species